GAAGCGUAUAUUAAAGUUGUUGCAGUUAAAAAGCUCGUAGUUGAAUUUUGGGCCUGGCUGGCCGGUCCGCCUCACCGCGUGCACUGGUCCGGCCGGGCCUUUCCUCCUGGGGAUCCGCAUGCCCUUCACUGGGUGUGUUGGGGAACCAGGACUUUUACUUUGAAAAAAUUAGAGUGUUCAAAGCAGGCCUUUGCUCGAAUACAUUAGCAUGGAAUAAUAGAAUAGGACGGCUUUCCUAUUUUGUUGGUUUCUAGGGAAGCCGUAAUGAUUAAUAGGGAUAGUCGGGGGCAUCAGUAUUCAAUUGUCAGAGGUGAAAUUCUUGGAUUUAUUGAAGACUAACUACUG
rnacentral:rRNA from 1 species